UACGAAGGGGGCUAGCGUUGUUCGGAAUCACUGGGCGUAAAGCGCAUGUAGGCGGAUCUUUAAGUCAGGGGUGAAAUCCCGAGGCUCAACCUCGGAACUGCCUUUGAUACUGGGGAUCUCGAGUCCGGGAGAGGUGAGUGGAACUGCGAGUGUAGAGGUGAAAUUCGUAGAUAUUCGCAAGAACACCAGUGGCGAAGGCGGCUCACUGGCCCGGAACUGACGCUGAGGUGCGAAAGCGUGGGGAGCAAACAGG
rnacentral:rRNA from 1 species